AGUGAACGCUGGCGGUAGGCCUAACACAUGCAAGUCGAACGGCAGCACAGUAAGAGCUUGCUCUUACGGGUGGCGAGUGGCGGACGGGUGAGGAAUACAUCGGAAUCUACUUUUUCGUGGGGGAUAACGUAGGGAAACUUACGCUAAUACCGCAUACGACCUACGGGUGAAAGCAGGGGAUCUUCGGACCUUGCGCGAUUGAAUGAGCCGAUGUCGGAUUAGCUAGUUGGCGGGGUAAAGGCCCACCAAGGCGACGAUCCGUAGCUGGUCUGAGAGGAUGACCAGCCACACUGGAACUGAGACACGGUCCAGACCCCUACGGGAGGCAGCAGUGGGGAAUAUUGGACAAUGGGCGGAAGCCUGAUCCAGCCAUACCGGGGGGGUGAAGAAGGCCUUCGGGUUGUAAAGCCCUUUUGUUGGGAAAGAAAAGCAGCAGGUUAAUACCCCGCUGUUCUGACGGUACCCAAAGAAUAAGCACCGGCUAACUUCGUG
rnacentral:rRNA from 1 species